rnacentral:rRNA from 1 species
CCCUUAGAUGUUCUGGGCCGCACGCGUGCUACACUGAGUGGAUCAGCGGGUCAGGUUGCGCGAAAGUGUUUCCUAAUCUUUAAAUCCGCUCGUGAUGGGGAUUGACGGUUGCAAUUUUCCGUCAUGAACGAGGAAUACCUUGUAAGCGCGGGUCAUCAUCCCGCGCUGAAUACGUCCCUGCCCUUUGUACACACCGCCCGUCGCUCCUACCGAUUGAGUGGUCCGGUGAGGCUUUGGGAUCUGGGCGGAAAGAGCGUUUCGCUGUUUCUGCCCGGAAAACUCAGUCGAACCUUAUCAUUUAGAGGAAGGAGAAGCCGUAACA